GGAUACGGCCAUACCACCCUGAACGCACUCGUCUGAUCUCGGAAGCUAAGCAGGGUCGGGCCUGGUUAGUACUAGGAUGGGAGGCAUAUUAC
rnacentral:rRNA from 1 species